CGUGAGUAACCUGCCUUGGAGAGGGGGAAUAACACAUCGAAAGAUGUGCUAAUACCGCAUGAAAUGUCUGAAUCGCAUGGUUCUGGACAUCAAAGAUUUAUCGCUCUGAGAUGGACUCGCGUCUGAUUAGCUGGUUGGCGGGGUAACGGCCCACCAAGGCGACGAUCAGUAGCCGGCCUGAGAGGGCGGACGGCCACACUGGGACUGAGACACGGCCCAGACUCCUACGGAAGGCAGCAG
rnacentral:rRNA from 1 species